rnacentral:misc_RNA from 1 species
GAUGAAGAACGUAGCGAAAUGCGAUAAUUAAUGUGAAUUGCAGAAUUUAGUGAAUCAUCGAAUCUUUGAACGCAUAUUGCGCCCGCCAGCACUCUGGCGGGCAUGCCUGUUCGAGCGUCAUUUCAACCCUCAGGCCUCGCGUCUGGCGUUGGGGCGCUGCGGCCCUCCCGCAGGCCCCCAAAUUUAGCGGCGGAUUCCCCGCGGCCCUGAGCGCAGUAGAGAGUAAAAACUUUAACGCUCCGGCGGCCGUGGCGCGGUUCUGCCUCUUUCCCAAUAGCGCCAAUAGCGCCACCCCCAAAAAAGUUGACCUCGGAUCAGGUAGGACUACCCGCUGAACUUAAGCAUAUCAAUAAGCGGAGGA